rnacentral:misc_RNA from 1 species
GAUGAAGAACGUAGCGAAAUGCGAUAAGUAAUGUGAAUUGCAGAAUUCAGUGAAUCAUCGAAUCUUUGAACGCAUCUUGCGCUCCUUGGUAUUCUGAGGAGCAUGCCUGUUUGAGUGUCAUUAAAUUCUCAACUACACUGACUUUGAAUUGGUGUGGCUUGGAUUUGGGGGGAAAAUUGUUGUGGGCUUUUUGUAUAGUCUGCUCCCCUGAAAUUGAUUAGCGGUACCUUUGUGGAACUGUCUACAGGUGUGAUAAUUAUCUACAUCUUAGACAUCUGCUGGAAUGCUGCUUUCUAAACCUUACUUGUAUUGACAAUCUUGACCUCAAAUCAGGUAGGACUACCCGCUGAACUUAAGCAUAUCAAUAAGCGGAGCA